GUCGAACGGACUCAUACUGAAACCUAGUGAUUUAUGAGUUAGUGGCGGACGGGUGAGUAACGCGUGGAUAACCUGCCGUAUACCGGGGGAUAACACUUAGAAAUAGGUGCUAAUACCGCAUGAGCGCACAGCUCCGCAUGGGGCGGUGUGAAAAACUCCGGUGGUAUACGAUGGAUCCGCGUCUGAUUAGCCAGUUGGCGGGGUAACGGCCCACCAAAGCGACGAUCAGUAGCCGGCCUGAGAGGGUGAACGGCCACAUUGGGACUGAGACACGGCCCAGACUCCUACGGGAGGCAGCAGUGGGGAAUAUUGCACAAUGGGGGAAACCCUGAUGCAGCGACGCCGCGUGAGUGAAGAAGUAUCUCGGUAUGUAAAGCUCUAUCAGCAGGAAAGAUAAUGACGGUACCUGACUAAGAAGCCCCGGCUAACUACGUGCCAGCAGCCGCGGUAAUACGUAGGGGGCAAGCGUUAUCCGGAAUUACUGGGUGUAAAGGGAGCGUAGACGGUUAAGUAAGUCUGGAGUGAAAGGCCGGGGCCCAACCCCGGGACUGCUCUGGAAACUAUUCAACUUGAGUGCAGGAGAGGUAAGCGGAAUUCCUAGUGUAGCGGUGAAAUGCGUAGAUAUUAGGAGGAACACCAGUGGCGAAGGCGGCUUACUGGACUGUAACUGACGUUGAGGCUCGAAAGCGUGNGGAGCAAACAGGAUUAGAUACCCUGGNAGUCCACGCCG
rnacentral:rRNA from 1 species